rnacentral:rRNA from 1 species
CAGUCGCCGCGGUAAUACGGAGGGGGCUAGCGUUGUUCGGAAUUACUGGGCGUAAAGCGUACGUAGGCGGCUUUGUAAGUUAGAGGUGAAAGCCUGGUGCUCAACACCAGAACUGCCUUUAAGACUGCAUCGCUUGAACGUCGGAGAGGUGAGUGGAAUUCCCGGUGUAGCAGUGAAAUGCGUUGAGAUCGGGAGGAACACCAGUGGCGAAGGCGGCUACCUGGACCAGCACUGACACUGAAGCACGAAAGCGUGGGGAGCAAACAGGAUUAGAUACCCGCGUAGUCCCUGUCUCUUAUAC